UUGAUAUAUUUGAGUACUGAGCACCUAGAAUUUACCUUCUUUUAAUGUAUGUGAAGGUGUAAUGUCACACAUUGCUCUAGCAAAGAGAUGUCUUCAGAUGCAACUUUUGAUGGAUGAAUAGUACUCCCUUUAACUCACUUCAUAAGCCAUUGAUUGCCCUAGCGAUGUGCAAAUUUUUAGAUCUUUGUGAUCAUUUUUAAACUGUUGGUGGUAGUGUUGUAAAUCAACGGUAGUGUGUUGCCAUGCCCCUGCUGCUUAUGCCCAAUUAGUCUCAUAUAACUUUACAGAUGUGCUAAUGGUGUUGCAUCAUCCUAUUCAUGAAAUCAAUUAGAUAAACAAAAGCACCAGCGUGCUUAUACGGAUCUGUUAAGAAUUUCGGCCUGAUUAACAACCAUAAUUGCAAUGGAUGACAGGAAAGCAAAUGCACACUUCAAUCCCCCAAUCUGGCGUUCAAGCCUAAGACAUGCUCUACACAAGUCUCUGUAAAUCUCCAGCACAGGUUCCUUGGCAACUUUAAAAUGCCAACCAUGGUCCUGGGUUUGAGGAACUUCAAACAGCCGUUGAGAGUUGUCUGCCUCCCGACAUGGAGCUAAAUGAUGGUGGAUGAAACCCCUGAAUAUAUUGCCAAAGCAGCAACUAACAAGAGUUCCAGGCUGGUGGUGGUAAGAAAUAGUUUAGUUGGCACAUAACAGAUCAUGGAACAGCAAAACCAUCGACAUCUAUGUCAGGUACUUGAGGUUUGCAUGCAAAUUACGAGUGGAAACUUGAUGUCAGUUUGUAGUCUCAUGCAGUCUUUGCUGGAUACCAUCAUAUCAUGGAAGGUUUAUGGGUGCUGAAUGCUGAUUUAACUUUCAUUCAUGACUACUUGUUUAU